GGGUACUCUUGAGUUUGAUCCUGGCUCAGCGCGGCUGGGUCUCCCGUCAGACUUUGGAGUGGACCUGGAAACGUGCCCUCCGGUCUGGGAUAAACCUGUCGAAACUAGGGCUAAUACCAGAUACGUGCUUUGGCACAAAGGUUUACUGCCGGAGGAUCCUCCCGCGUCUGAUUAGUUAGUUGGUGGGGUAACGGCCUACCAAGGCGACGAUCAGUAACUGGUCUGAGAGGAUGAUCAGCCACACUGGGACUGAAACACGGCCCAGACUCCUACGGGAGGCAGCAGUGGGGAAUAUUGGACAAUGGGCGCAAGCCUGAUCCAGCCAUGCCGCGUGAGUGAUGACGGCCUUAGGGUUGUAAAGCUCUUUUCUCCGGGACGAUAAUGACGGUACCGGAGGAAUAAGCCCCGGCUAACUUCGUGCCAGCAGCCGCGGUAAUACGAAGGGGGCUAGCGUUGCUCGGGAUGGCUGGGCGUAAAAGGAAGCGUAAGCGGCUUUUUAAGAAAGGUGUGAAAGUCUAUGGGUCAAAAAACGGAAUGGGCCUUCUUUUCUGAAAAACUUGAGCUGGCCCCAGGUGGGGGGGACCCCCGAGUGUAUAGGUGAUUUUUAAAUUUUUUCCCGAGCACCCCCGGGGGGGAAAGUUUUUGAAUGGACCGGGCCCCACGGUGAGGGGCGAAACCCCGGGGAGCAAACAGAUUUAUUGCCGGGGUAAUCCCGGGCUAAACAAUGGUUGGUAGCCGCUGGGGUGGCUGCCACCCAGGAACCCGCCACGAGUACGCUUUCCCCCCGGGGUGUUCGGUCU
rnacentral:rRNA from 1 species